UUCGGAUUGUAGUCUGCAACCCGACUACAUGAAGCUGGAAUCGCUAGUAAUCGCGGAUCAGCAUGCCGCGGUGAAUACGUUCCCGGGCCUUGUACACACCGCCGUCACACCAUGGGAGUUUGUAACGCCCAAAGUCGGUGGCCUAACCUUUAUGGAGGGAGCCGCCUAAGGCGGGACAGAUGACUGGGGUGAAGUCGUAACAAGGUAAC
rnacentral:rRNA from 1 species